AAUUGAAUUUAGUAUGUAUCUAGACACAACUAUAUAUGUAUACACAUAACAAAAUCAAUAUAUGUAGAAAUAUCAAAACAUUUUAUAAUUUAGAAUAGAGAGAGACAUAAGUUACACAAUACAACUUAUGUACAUAAGUUGCACAACUAAUACACUAGUGCAUAUAGAAAGUUAUGACAUUUAUUAUACAUAAACAGAAGUUAUACGAUACAACUUAGCAGAAUAGGUUAGCAGCAUAAUUUAGCAGAAUAAGUUAGCAACAUAACUUAUAUGUUAUAAGUUUAUAUACAUAAAUUGUUAUUAGAAAAAUAAAAAUCCUCGAAACAUAUAGAAGUGGGGUCUAGUUUUGUUCGUCUUGUCACGUUGAACACACCGGUGAAGACGGAAUUAAAAAUAGAUACAUCAUUCAAAAGUUAUAGUAAUUUGAAAUAAAUAUUUUAUUUUUUUCAUGAUGAUGUCAAAAGCAGAGGGAAAGAGAAGUGGUGGGAGAAGGAUGGACGACCGGCAUGCAUUAGCUGUCGGAUUGUUCGCUAGAUUAAAAACUACUGAACGACCGUGGCAAUG
rnacentral:lncRNA from 1 species